UAUUGCUUUUCGUGUACAAUGUCCAGAAUGACUUGGUCCGUGGCUGGGGUCUUGAUUUUGCCCUCAGAAAAUGUGUAGAGCCCGCCCAUGAGAAGAUAGGCGUCGUAGAUGCCCAGUGGAUUGUUCAUCAGUCCGUCCCCUCUCUCGGGAACCAGGGAGAGUCGCAAGACGGGAAGGCUCCAUGGAAAGGGGUAAGGGAAAGAUGUAGGAAGGAAUGGAGCAUAUUUCAAGUGCGGUUUUCAGCAGCGGAGAGAGCUUACUUCAAGUCGAUAAAUUCAACAUCUCGUUAGGACUGAUAGCAAGCAAAACUCGAAAAACCUGACCUGUUCGCCGCAUUAUUCAGACUCAGAGCCACCCCUCACCGU